UGGUUUUCUGGAGAGUCCACUCUGCAGUCUGGAGACUCUGUGGUUGAGCAACUGCAGUUUGUCAGAGAUCAGCUGUUCUUCUCUGAUCUCAGCUCUGAAGUCCAACCCCUCCCUCCUGAAACAUCUGAAAUAUCUGGACCUGAGUUGGAACAAACUGCAGGAUUCAGGAGUUGAGCAGCUGUGUGGUUUUCUGGAGAGUCCACUCUGCAGUCUGGAGGCUCUGUGGUUGAGCAGCUGCAGUUUGUCAGAGAUCAGCUGUUCUUCUCUGGCCUCAGCUC